rnacentral:rRNA from 1 species
UUGCUUGUAGGAAAAUUUAAUUACAGGUAAUUUCUGCCCGGUGAGGUUUAAACGGCCGCGGUACUCUGACCGUGCAAAGGUAGCAUAAUCACUUGCCCUUUUAUUGGGGGCUGGCAUGAAUGGAAUGACGGGAUUUUAGCUGUCUCUUUUUUUAGGUAGGAAAUUGCUGUUUUUGUGAAGAAGCGGGAGUAAAUAAAAAAGACAAGAAGACCCCAUUAAGCUUGACCUAUAUUUUUGUAUUUUUCUACUUUGAAGUAGGGGUAUAUAAGUAUGAUUGGUUUGGUUGGGGUGACGGAAAGAGAUAAGAUCUUUUUUUUGAGGAAUAACAUAUAAGUUUAAAGUAGGGCCAAGAUUUUUGAAGAAAAGAAUGAGUUACUAUGGGGAUAACAGCGUAAUUUUUUCUGAGAGUUCUUAUUGAAGAAAGAGAUUGCGACCUCGAUGUUGACUUGUUGAUUCCUUUGGGCGUAGAAGUUCGUAGGGUUAGUCUGUUCGACUAUUAAAACAAC